rnacentral:rRNA from 1 species
UUUUGGGGGUUUUUUUUUUUUUUGAAAAUAAAAAAGCGAACAACGUAUCAGUAAAGUGAACCUGAAGGAAGGAUCAUUAUUGAAAUUAAUGUAGAGUUUGGUUGUAGCUGGCCCCUAAUUAACUUGGGGGCAUGUGCACACCUUUCUCUUUCAUCCCAUACACACCUGUGCACCUGUGAGACAGAUGUUUUCUAGGGGGGAAGGAACUUUAUUGGACCUACUCUCCUUGGACUCUGUCUACUUAAUCUAUAUAAACUCAAUUUAUUUUAAAAUGAAUGUAAUGGAUGUAACACAUCUAAUACUAAGUUUCAACAACGGAUCUCUUGGCUCUCGCAUCGAUGAAGAACGCAGCGAAAUGCGAUAAGUAAUGUGAAUUGCAGAAUUCAGUGAAUCAUCGAAUCUUUGAACGCACCUUGCGCUCCUUGGUAUUCCUUGGAGCAUGCCUGUUUGAGUAUCAUGAAAUCUUCAAAGUCAAACCUUUUGUUAACUCAAUUGGUUCUGCUUUGGUAUUGGAGGUCUAUUGCAGCUUCACACCUGCUCCUCUUUGUGCAUUAGCUGGAUCUCAGUGUUAUGCUUGGUUCCACUCAGCGUGAUAAGUUAUCUAUCGCUGAGGACACCCUGUUAAAAAGGGGUGGCCAAGGUAAAUGCAGAUGAACCGCUUCUAACAGUCCAUUCACUUGGACAAAUAUUAAUUUUAUGAUCUGAUCUCAAAUCAGCUGUAGGACGUACAUCGCUGAACUUAAGCAUAUCUAAACGGGGAGAAAAAAAAAAAACUUGU